CUUUAAUCGGACAGUGUUGGAAAUGUAAUGGCGCAGAUCAGAAAUCCGCAGGCGCAUCCAAACUGCAGAAAUGCAUGCUGGGUGCUGCUUGCCUUGUUGGCGACCCAGCACAUCCAAGGAGUUUGCGCUAGUGGGUUUAACAUAGCGAGGUCCCGGAUGCUACCACACGUGGGCGCUCUAUGAGCCAAUCGGCGAUUUCACACAACAACCAAUGACAAUCUCUACAUUGCAAAGCCCAUUAAUAUUUGGCUCGUAAACCGCGUUAGGUAAAGAUGGUAAGAAAAAAAAUCACUGCUUGAAAAAACUGUGACAGAUUAUUAGAUAGAGGGGUAAUCUGUAAUUAUAAUUGACACUGAUGUUUAUGCACCAGUGCACAUGAAAAGCUUGAGUUUUCACAGGUCAGUGAUGUAUACGCUUGUGGACUGAGUUAAAUAACACCAGUGUUUUAAGAUUAUGUAGCCUACUUCAGGAAAUCAAUCAUGUAUUUAAAUUCAGUUGUACAGCCCACAUGCGUUAAAGAUGCAAAGGAGUUUUUCUGAUUUUAAGGUAUUUUUCAAACUGUAAAUUUUUUUGCAUUGCUUGAAAUUGUAUGUAUGUAUUUGUUUGUUUGUUUGCCUAUUUAUUUAUUUCUGUGCUGAAGUUUUAUAACACCCAAGCGAUGUAACACAGGACACAUUCUCAAACUUCACGCAAGUUUUAAAAAUAACUAUGAAGUUGUUU
ensembl:lncRNA